rnacentral:lncRNA from 1 species
AAUUAAUUCAUCGAAUUGUUUGAUCUGUUGGAUCAUAUUCAUCAACACUUCUGUGAGACAGCCGUUGUAUUCUAAAAAUUUAAGCUAUUAAAGAACGGUAUUUAUAUAUUUUUAUAUUUAACAUUUUUCCUCACGUCUGGCUCGAUAUUAUAGGAGACAAUCGUUGUACUCUAAAAAUUUAAGCUGUUAGAGAACAGUAUUUAUAUGUUUUUAUAAUUAAUAACUUCUUAAGAAAUUAAGUUACUAUCUCUAAUAAUGUUCAAAAUUUCAC